rnacentral:lncRNA from 1 species
GGAAGGCGGGUCAGGAGGUCUCCCUGGGAUGCCUGAUGACCGUCCAGGGCUCUGAGCCCGGCGUCGGUAGCCAGUCUCAGGAGGCCCCUGCUGCUGCUGCAGUGCUGCCAUCCUGGCAGGUCUCCCCACAGGGCUGCUGCUGGGGCUAUAAGUUGGGUCUGGCCACUGCCAAGCCACAGUCCCUUACGCAUGUCCUCAGGAUCUUGGGUGGCAGCUGAAGGCACCUCCGCUGGCUCCACUCACCAGACCCCACGCAGGGGCAUGCAGAUGGCAGCCCCACCCCACACCCACAGGCCUGGCUGCAGAAGAGCCUGGGAAAUAGGUUUUAUUUUGCAGCCUUGAUGAAAGGAGCUGGAAAUGGGCGUUGCAUCCUGCUGAGUUUAUCUAGCACCCAACUGCCACGCGGCAUCCCACUGCCGCUGCUCUGCUCUCGCUGGCUGGCCAUCUCCUCGCGCGACUGUCCAUCCUCUGCUCUCCACCAGGAGGCCUCUUCACUGGCUAUGGAACACUCAUUUCUAAUGCCUUCCCUUGUCUACUUUUACUCCAAGAUGACCAUCCUCUUUUAGCAUUGACACAGUUUUGAUUACUGGAACAAAAAUAAUCAUGGAGACUCUGGGCAGCUUUUGCUUUCCCUCAAAAAGGGGAAAUGUGACCAGCUUUGCUUCUUCCCCUUCCUACCUUCCACAUGGAUGUAAUGUCUUGAGCCUUGGCAGCCAUUCUGUGGUCAUGAAGAAAAAGCCAGGAGAACUGCUGAGGUACUGUCCCUAGCUGUUGGACCAACACCAGCAGCCACUUCCUCCCAGACUUCUGAUACAAGAAAAAUAAAUGCACUCAAUUAAGGUACUGUUAGCUGUUGCUUCUGUAAUUUGUACUCAAAACUAGUCCCAACCAAUA